AAUAUGAGAAUGACAAAUCAAAUUUUUUCUCCUGAUUUUCAGCUUUUUUCCUCAUGAAAAAAUUCAAAAUUAACUAAAAAUGCUAAAAAUCAAGAGAAAAAAAUAUAAUUUGUCAUUCUCCUAUU
rnacentral:pre_miRNA from 1 species